AGAGAAUAGAUACCCGGGUAGUCCACACUGUAAACGACGAUCACUCGAUGUUGGCGAUAUACAGUCAGCGUCCAAAGCGAAAGCGAUAAGUGAUCCACCUGGGGAGUACGGUCGCAAGAUUGAAACUCAAAGGAAUUGACGGGGGCCCGCACAAGCGGAGGAGCAUGUGGUUUAAUUCGAUGAUACGCGAGGAACCUUACCAGGGCUUGAAAGUUAGCGACUGUUCGUGAAAGCGGACAUCCCUUCGGGGCGCGAAACUAGGUGCUGCAUGGCUGUCGUCAGCUCGUGCCGUGAGGUGUUGGGUUAAGUCCCGCAACAAGCGCAACCCCUAUCAUUAGUUGCCAACAGGUUAAGCUGGGGACUCUAAUGAAACUGCCCGCGCAAGCGGCGAGGAAGGUGGGGAUGACGUCAAGUCAGCACGGCCCUUACGUCCUGGGCUACACACGUGCUACAAUGGCAAAUACAAUGGGCUGCUACACAGUAAUGUGAUGCAAAUCUCU
rnacentral:rRNA from 1 species